rnacentral:rRNA from 1 species
AUGAGCAGCUUUUUUGAAAAGGCAUGCCAGUCUUCUUGUGAGGGUAUAAUGUUGAAGACUAUUGAUAUUGAUACUGGAUACUCUGCUUCCAAGUGCUGUGAUUCAUGGUUAAAGGUGAAGCGUGACCAUGUGGAAGGCCUAGGUGAUAGCCUUGACUUAGUUCUAAUCGGUGCAUGGUAUGCAAAUGGACGGAGAGCUGGAUGGUACAACCCUUUUCUAAUGGCAUGCUACAACCCUGAAUCUGAAGAAUUUCAAAGUGUAUGUAGUGUUAUGUCUGGUUUCUCAGAUGAUUUCUAUAAGGAGAUGAAGGAGUUUUAUUCCAGUGAAAAGAUAUUGCCCAAGAAACCUUUUUACUACAAAACAGAUGAGCUGCCGGAGUUGUGGUUCACUGCUGAACAAGUUUGGGAGAUCCGAGGUGCAGAUCUCACACUAUCCCCUGUCCAUCACGCGACCAUCGGUAUCGUGCAUCCGUCGCGUGGGAUCUCCGUGAGGAUGCCGAGGCACAUACGAUGCGUUCCAGAUCGGAGCCCAGAGGAUUGCAGCAUUGCUACCGACGUUGCUAGCAUGUCCAGAGCCCAAACCAAGAAGAUGGAGGUGAGCAGCGAUGGCCAGGUGCAAGUCACCAGUGACAGACAUCAGCCUCGCAGUGCGUUUUGUACAUAUACAUUAGCAGGAAAGUUUGUGGCAAACGCCGCAGUAGCUUUUCACCUUUUUUGUAAGUAUCAGCAGGUUGAAUUAAAGAAAUAG